rnacentral:rRNA from 1 species
AGAGUUUGAUCCUGGCUCAGAAUGAACGCUGGCGGCGUGCCUAACACAUGCAAGUCGAACGAGAGCGAAGGAGCUUGCUCCUUCAAUCUAGUGGCAGACGGGUGAGUAACGCGUGGGUAAUCUACCUUCGAGUGGGGCAUACCAGGCCGAAAGGCCUGUUAAUUCCGCAUGAAAUGGAUGUCAUCUUGGUGGCGACCAUGAAAGCCCGGGAUCUUCGGACCGGGUGCUUGAAGAGGAGCUCGCGUUAGAUUAGCUAGUUGGUGAGGUAAUGGCUCACCAAGGCUGCGAUCUAUAGCCGGCCUGAGAGGGUGAUCGGCCACACUGGAACUGAGACACGGUCCAGACUCCUACGGGAGGCAGCAGUGGGGAAUUUUGCGCAAUGGGGGAAACCCUGACGCAGCAACGCCGCGUGAGUGAAGAAGCAUCUUGGUGUGUAAAGCUCUGUCGAUAGGGACUAAGAAUCGUUGCCUAAUAAGUAACGGAAUUGAAUGUACCUAUAGAGGAAGCCCCGGCUAACUCCGUGCCAGCAGCCGCGGUAAUACGGAGGGGGCAAGCGUUAUUCGGAAUUACUGGGCGUAAAGGGCGCGUAGGCGGCCUGUUAAGUGAGAAGUGAAAGCCCACGGCUUAACCGUGGAACUGCUUCUCAUACUGGCAGGCUAGAGAAUAGGA